AUUGAACGCUGGCGGCAUGCCUUACACAUGCAAGUCGAACGGCAGCAUGAUCUAGCUUGCUAGAUUGAUGGCGAGUGGCGAACGGGUGAGUAAUACAUCGGAACGUGCCCCGUAGUGGGGGAUAACUAGUCGAAAGAUUAGCUAAUACCGCAUACGACCUGAGGGUGAAAGUGGGGGACCGCAAGGCCUCAUGCUAUAGGAGCGGCCGAUGUCUGAUUAGCUAGUUGGUGAGGUAAAGGCUCACCAAGGCGACGAUCAGUAGCUGGUCUGAGAGGACGAUCAGCCACACUGGGACUGAGACACGGCCCAGACUCCUACGGGAGGCAGCAGUGGGGAAUUUUGGACAAUGGGCGAAAGCCUGAUCCAGCAAUGCCGCGUGUGUGAAGAAGGCCUUCGGGUUGUAAAGCACUUUUGUCCGGAAAGAAAUGGCUCUGGUUAAUACCUGGGGUCGAUGACGGUACCGGAAGAAUAAGGACCGGCUAACUACGUG
rnacentral:rRNA from 1 species